rnacentral:rRNA from 1 species
GACGAACGCUGGCGGCGUGCUUAACACAUGCAGGUCGAACGGUGAAGGGACCAGCUUGCUGGUUCUGGAUGAGUGGCGAACGGGUGAGUAACACGUGAGUAACCUGCCCCCUUCUUCUGGAUAACCGCAUGAAAGUGUGGCUAAUACGGGAUAUUCUGGGUCUGUCGCAUGGCGGGCCCGGGAAAGAUAUUGCUUCGGUGGGGGAUGGGCUCGCGGCCUAUCAGCUUGUUGGUGGGGUGAUGGCCUACCAAGGCGGUGACGGGUAGCCGGCCUGAGAGGGUGGACGGUCACACUGGGACUGAGACACGGCCCAGACUCCUACGGGAGGCAGCAGUGGGGAAUAUUGCACAAUGGGCGCAAGCCUGAUGCAGCGACGCCGCGUGAGGGAUGGAGGCCUUCGGGUUGUAAACCUCUUUCGCCAGUGAAGCAGGCCUGCUCCUUGUGGGUGGGUUGACGGUAGCUGGAGAAGAAGCGCCGGCUAACUACGUG